CAAAAUCUCAUAGAGGAGGAAAUGGGAAGAAUAUUUCAUUCAGAAGACAAAUGCUAAAAAAAUAAUUUGACAACUGCACAUGGAUAUGGAAUGGAACACCCCUUAUUCCUUUGGCCCAGACAGCGUUGUUGAGCCUGGUGUCAAUGCACAUAUCUGUCGUUCCCCUUUCUUUUGUGUGAAACAACUGCAUGUGGAGAGAAGAGUCACACAUUUUGGAGGCUGAAGCCAUCCCCACCCUGAGUCAUAGCUGCCUGGCCUCACUAGGGAUCUAGACACCGGCAACAUGGAGCUCUGGGGAUUUCUGUUUUGCUGGGACUGAUGUGUGAACAUUUACAAUAACAGUCAACAUAAGAACAAUGACACAACAUAGGUAAGGAUUUAAUUUUAUUCCUUAUUUUUCAAAAAGCUUCCUUAACAUGAUGUAACAGUUACUAAUGCCCUAUUACUUUAAGUUCUGCUAAAGUAUAUGAGGACCCAUGACAUUAAGUCCAUUUAAAAACUCUUGUUCUUUUCUGGGAAGAACAAUAGUGCAAAGUAUAAUAUUGAACAAUAGUUAAAGGGUAGUGUAAAGCACAAUACAGUGUAAAUGAUGAUGUAAAAAUGAUUAACAAAAAGGCAGUGGAGAAUUUCUCCUCACCUUCACAUGACCCAAAUCAUGCAUUUUUUGUUUGUUUUGAAAUUGAUGUUUCCACGUUAGUUCUGGGGGAAGUACAGCCUCUUCUUUCUGAUUCCUACUCCUAACCUCAGUGUGACAUCCACCUUAGAUACUUAAGUAUCCGCAGUUUUCAUAAAGAAAGGACAAGUAAACUCACAUUCAUGGACCAAUCAUGGU